UGCAGACUAUGAGGUCUGUGCAUAUGAAACGUAUUGUAUUCACCCUUCAUGCCGAGGCACAUGCAUCGAUGGAGCCCAUGCAUUGCCGUCAGGUACCCCUCGUCCCUAAGAUCUACUGCUGUAACAACCACGCACACAUACUGCUAGUAGUCAUAAGAGCUGUAAUUCCUGUGACCUCUGGUGUCCUGUUCGCGCCAGUUGCACCGCAAACGCUUCCACAUGAACUGUUAAACUGUUUAAAAUUUUCGUAUUCUUAAGUAUCGCGCGUGUGUAUGCUUUGAAAAUACAGGAGAUGGAAAAGGUACGCUUACAGCGCUAGCCGUCAGCGAUUUCUGGCUUACCAGGGUCUCAAGAUCUAGGACCUCUUUUCCGAAAGCACUGAAAGGAGUUUUGCAACGUUAUGUAAUCUUUUCGGGGACUUUCCAUGGACCUGCCGGCGAAGUAAGGGAAUGAUAUGCGCACGCCGCCGAAUAAGUAAUUAUCAGUAAAUUGUUAACCUGCAGGUAUCACGUUGAACUUCUUAAUGCAAUGCCAAAAUAAGCCAAACAGAACAAGCCUACAACAUGACUUCCAAAGGGUGGCAUGUAUGUUAGAAGCGCCCUGCAUUCCGCUAAGGUACAGCUUGUUAGCUAUUUGGACGGAACAGUCUUUUUUGCGUUCUUUUCCGAGUACCUCUUACACUGCUUGUCCUGCGCAUCCUUUACAUGUACUACGGCUAAGGGAUCCCUUCCGGAUGAUGAAGAAUGUGCUUUAUGCUGGACCAAUUACACAUCACGAUCAGCAUCGAUUAAGCGGCUCCAGGAGCUGGUACCAGCUGGUACCGGCCGGUGCUUAGGGCCCGAUCCGCCGCCGGGAGGACGACUUCCUGAGGCAAACACGACGGACAUCCCGAACGGUGCUUACAUCCGUGUUAUGGAAAAUUGCUCUUACGUGUGUGGACCGGACGGAUGGACAAGAGGCAACGUUUUGCAUCACUUGUUUCUUGGCCGCAAGCAGCAACGUAGUGAAGGACAUGGACGCGCAUGCACAGGCCAUGGAAUGGUAUGUCUAAAUCAUGGAUGGCGACGUUCAACUCUCAGAAUGGUGAUUUCUGCCUUUGGGUUCAAUUCUGAACCUGGAAUGCUGCUGGCUCUGCCCGUACCGGAAAAGUGCUUUCCGGUACGGCGGUGCNNNNNNNNNNNNNNNNNNNNNNNNNNNNNNNNNNNNNNNNNNNNNNNNNNUUUUGGAUGCUUGUUUCUUGGCCGCAAGCAGCAGCAUACUUAAAUCGCGUUGGGCCAUUUGCCCAGGCUGCCGCAAGGACGACAAGCCAGGCUAAUGCAGCUGGUGUCCAUGACGGGUUCAUUACGUGCUGAAUAUGAAAGAUUGCUACAAAGACUCUGGCCCUGACGAACGUAAAAUGUGAUGUUCGUAAGGAAGAAAACAGACGCAUAUCCAAGGCAUGGAGCUGUUUGUAGGGAAACCGUAAAUGAAGGUUUAAGGAACUGAACGAUGAAUUCUGCCGGUGUGGUCGGUUCUGGAUCUCUUAUGUUGCUCGUCACGCUCGUACGGAAAAUGGGCAUUUGUUGCAGGAGGGAGUCUGUGUGUCAAGUCGUAGUCGAACCUUUUUCAAAGGGGAUGAGCACACACACAGCUUGCAUUCCAUGUUCACUAACGUCAGCCCACAGUAAGCUACUGGGCUAGACUUGGAGGGUCCGACCGGGGCAACUCGUUGCUGUGGACUUGUAGGCAAGUCAAGUAGGGCUAUGGAAUGCUAGGACAAUGUUAUUAUGUUUGUGUUAUAGGCUUGGGUAGGAAUUCUUAAGCAAUACGUUGAGUGGCUUUUCCGCCGGCGGGAGGACGACAAUCCCAUGCAAACAGGACGGAUGUUCCGAAUGUUGCUUACAUUCAUGUUGUCGAAGCUCGCGACGACAGCUCUGGACAGGACGGAUGUCAAGUGUGCGUUGGUAAACGUGAUGGCAACGUAGUGAAGGACACGGACGCGCAUGCACAGGCCAUGGAAUGGUAUGUCUAAAUCAUGGAUGGCGACGUUCAACUCUCAGAAUGGUGAUUUCUGCCUUUGGGUUCAAUUCUGAACCUGGAAUGCUGCUGGCUCUGCCCGUACCGGAAAAGUGCUUUCCGGUACGGCGGUGUCAGGAGGUGGUAUCUACGUCGUCUUAGGGGCAACCCUAAGACUAAGGGGAUGAACGAAUAGAGAUAUACUUAGGGUUUCUUGGCUGCAGCAAGUGUUGUCCUGGGCGCGACGUUGAUGGCCUGAUGCCGACGCGACCUCCUUUACGACAAUGCUAGGCAAACGCAGCGGAUGUUCAUGAAUUACUUAAGCGUUCAUAUUACUCGUCACAGCUUCAACGGCACUGUACUGGGCGGAUGUAAGACGUGCGUUGGUGGACGCGAUGGCCUUACGAAGGGGGAGAAAGACGCUUAGGAGAUGCUUGGAUUGUUAUGUACAAGUCACAGACGGGGACGUUUAACUCUAUGAAUGCUGAGUUUUAGCUACUAGUCGGGUUUUUUGAACUUCGCUGUUGUUGGUUCCGCCCGUACAGGAAAAGUGUCUUCUGAUACGGCGGUCACAGCAGGUAGUAUCCGCGUCGACUUGUAUGCAAACCAAAUACAACGAAACCAGGGGAUGAUAUGACAGUUUUGGAAUGCUUGUUUGUUGGCCGCAAGCAGCAGCAUACUUAAAUCGCGUAGGGCCAUUUGCCCAGGCUGCCGCAAGGACGACAAGCCAGGCUAAUGCAGCUGGUGUCCAUGAAGGGUUCAUUGCGUGCUGAAUAUGAAAGAUUGCCACAAAGACUCUUGCCCUGACGGAUGUGCAUUGUAAGGAAGGAAACGGAUGAAGAGUUAGCUCCGCGGUGCAUGGAACGCUAAGUAAGGAUGAUGGACUGUAAGCGUUAAUAUUCGGAGCAGGGAUUUCUGUCUUUUCGCUCGGUUCUGAAAGUCUAACGUCGAUUGCGCAUCCCGUUUGUUCGGGGAACGUACUUAGAUCUGAUACGGCUCACCCGAUUGGCAAUAAUGCUUUCUAUGCUUGCAUAACCAUUUUGUAAACACAGACCAUUAUGCCAAAUCUUUGCUGUAAUGCCUCUGGCCCAGAUGACAUUGCAU
rnacentral:lncRNA from 1 species